rnacentral:piRNA from 1 species
UGAGCUUUACAGCCUCUCAGCCCUAAGACCC